UUGAACGCUGGCGGAAUGCUUUACACAUGCAAGUCGAGCGGCAGCGCGGGGCAACCUGGCGGCGAGCGGCGAACGGGUGAGUAAUACAUCGGAACGUACCCAGUUGUGGGGGAUAGCCCGGCGAAAGCCGGAUUAAUACCGCAUACGACCUGAGGGUGAAAGCGGGGGAUCGCAAGACCUCGCGCAGUUGGAGCGGCCGAUGGCGGAUUAGCUAGUUGGUGGGGUAAAGGCUCACCAAGGCGACGAUCCGUAGCUGGUCUGAGCGGACGACCAGCCACACUGGAACUGAGACACGGUCCAGACUCCUACGGGAGGCAGCAGUGGGGAAUUUUGGACAAUGGGGGAAACCCUGAUCCAGCCAUUCCGCGUGAGUGAAGAAGGCCUUCGGGUUGUAAAGCUCUUUCGGCAGGAACGAAACGGUCUUUUCUAAUACAAGAGGCUAAUGACGGUACCUGAAGAAGAAGCACCGGCUAACUACGU
rnacentral:rRNA from 1 species